rnacentral:rRNA from 1 species
GAUGAACGCUGACAGAAUGCUUAACACAUGCAAGUCUACUUGAAUUUGGGUUUUUUAACUUAGAUUUGGGUGGCGGACGGGUGAGUAACGCGUAAAGAACUUGCCUCACAGCUAGGGACAACAUUUGGAAACGAAUGCUAAUACCUGAUAUUAUGAUUAUAAGGCAUCUUAGAAUUAUGAAAGCUAUAUGCGCUGUGAGAGAGCUUUGCGUCCCAUUAGCUAGUUGGAGAGGUAACGGCUCACCAAGGCGAUGAUGGGUAGCCGGCCUGGGAGGGUGAACGGCCACAAGGGGACUGAGAAACGGCCCGUACUCAUACGGGAGGCAGCAGUGGGGAACAUUGGACAAUGGACCAAGAGUCUGAUCAAGCAAUUCUGUGUGCACGAUGACGUUCUUCGGAAUGAAAAGUGCUUUCAGUUGGGAAGAAAAAAAUGACGGUACCAACAGAAGAAGUGACGGCUAAAUACGUG